UUGGUAUUUAAAGAAAGAUAAAUUGAUAUUCAGGGACUCCGUUUGGAUAUGCCAACGAGAGCACAUGAACUGCGUUCGGAUUUUCCAUCGCAUUCAUAUACAUUGUUUUUGGUUUAAAUUAACUAAGUUGUAACACUGAUACUUUAUAUUUGGACUUUAUUAAAUGAAUUUGGACUUUACCAAUUUGUUUAUGUUUACUGUAUUGAACUGCCGACUUGUGUGUGAAUAAAGAGCUAGUACCCCGCA
rnacentral:lncRNA from 1 species